UGCAAGUCGAGCGAGAAAGGGUAGCAAUACCUGAGUAAAGCGGCGCACGGGUGAGUAACACGUGGAUAACCUGCCUCAAAGUGGGGAAUAACACCGGGAAACCGGUGCUAAUACCGCAUAUUCUGACGAGAUCUGUGGAUUUUGUCAGGAAAGGAGCAAUUCGCUAUGAGAGGGGUCCGCGGCUGAUUAGCUAGUUGGUGAGGUAAUGGCUCACCAAGGCUUCGAUCAGUAGCCGGUCUGAGAGGACGGUCGGCCACACUGGAACUGAGACACGGUCCAGACUCCUACGGGAGGCAGCAGUGGGGAAUUUUUCGCAAUGGGGGCAACCCUGACGAAGCAAUGCCGCGUGGAUGAUGAAGUAUCUCGGUACGUAAAAUCCUUUCGACGGGGACGAAGCCGCAAGGUUGACGGUACCCGUAGAAGAAGCCCCGGCUAACUCCGUGCUAGCAGCCGCGGUAAUACGGGGGGGGCAAGCGUUGUUCGGAAUUACUGGGCGUAAAGGGUGCGUAGGCGGCUUUCUAAGUCGGAUGUGAAAACUCUGGGCUCAACCCAGAGCCUGCAUCCGAAACUGGAGAGCUAGGGUUCUGGAGGGGAAAGCGGAAUUCCUGGUGUAGCGGUGAAAUGCGUAGAUAUCAGGAGGAACACCGGUGGCGAAGGCGGCUUUCUGGACAGAUACCGACGCUGAGGCACGAAAGCUAGGGGAGCAAACAGGAUUAGAUACCCUGGUAGUCCUAGCCCUAAACUAUGGAUACUUGCUGUGGGGGGGAUUGAAGCCCCUUGUGGCGAAGCUAACGCAUUAAGUAUCCCGCCUGGGGAGUACGGUCGCAAGGCUG
rnacentral:rRNA from 1 species